GACGUAGGGUCCAAGCGUUGUCCGGAUUUACUGGGCGUAAAGAGCGCGUAGGCGGUCCGUUAAGUGUAGAGUGAAAGCUCCGGGCUCAACUCGGAAAUUGCUCUGCAUACUGGCGGACUCGAGGACGGAAGAGGUUUGUGGAAUUCCUGGUGUAGCGGUGAAAUGCGCAGAUAUCAGGAGGAACACCGGUGGCGAAGGCGGGUCUCUGGGCCGAUAUUGACGCUGAGGAGCGAAAGCGUGGGGAGCGAACAGG
rnacentral:rRNA from 1 species